ACUACGGGGGAGCACGGAGCUAUUUAUAGCUCCUGUGCUGUGUGAGACAACAGUGGGUCGACAAGCACACAAUAAGCACAGUGCAGCCGUCACGAUGCACACUGUGGCUGCAAGGAAACUGAACAACAGACUGCGUGGAUUAAGAUCGGGUCCCUUGCGAUGAGGGAUAUGAGAUUUAAUCUUUGACACUGUGGUGUCAGAGACGGAGAGGAGGAGGCCAUAUGGUCCCGGGGAGAGGACAGUGACUUGGCCAUGUUCAGUCGGAAAAUGAAAACUACUGAACCGAGUUUCACCAAACAGAGAGGAGGGAUGAGGCCUCGGAAGAACCCAUCACAUUUUGGUGCUGAUGAAAAAUAAUGGAUGGAUUCAGGAAUUAUUUUUCACUUUCAUUGUUUACAAUGUUUUAUGAAAAAUAAAUCAUUUAAGUUAC